UCCGGUUGAUCCUGGCAGAGGCCACUGCUAUCGGAGUUCGAUUAAGCCAUGCGAGUCGAGAGGUGCAAGACCUCGGCAUACUGCUCAGUAACACGUGGACAAUCUAACCUACGGAAGAGGAUAACCCCGGGAAACUGGGGAUAAUACUCUAUAGACUAUGGAUGCUGGAAUGCUUUGUAGUCGAAAGGUCCGCCGCCGUAGGAUGGGUCUGCGGCCGAUUAGGUUGUUGUUGGGGUAACGGCCCAACAAGCCUGUAAUCGGUACGGGUUGUGGGAGCAAGAGCCCGGAGAUGGAUUCUGAGACACGAAUCCAGGCCCUACGGGGCGCAGCAGGCGCGAAAACUUUACAAUGCGGGAAACCGUGAUAAGGGAACUCCGAGUGCCCGUAAAAUCAGGCUGUCCAUCAGUUUAAAUAACUGGUGAAGAAAGGGCCGGGCAAGACCGGUGCCAGCCGCCGCGGUAAUACCGGCGGCUCGAGUGGUGGCCACUAUUACUGGGCUUAAAGCGUUCGUAGCUGGUUUGUUAAGUCUCUGGGGAAAUCUUCCGGCUUAACCGGAAGGCGUCUCAGGGAUACUGGCAGACUAGGGACCGGGAGAGGUGAGGGGUACUCCAGGGGUAGGAGUGAAAUCCUGUAAUCCUUGGGGGACCACCUGUGGCGAAGGCGCCUCACCAGAACGGCUCCGACAGUGAGGGACGAAAGCUGGGGGAGCAAACCGGAUUAGAUACCCGGGUAGUCCCAGCCGUAAACGAUGCGCGUUAGGUGUAUCGGUGACCACGAGUCACCGAGGUGCCGAAGAGAAAUCGUGAAACGUGCCGCCUGGGAAGUACGGUCGCAAGGCUGAAACUUAAAGGAAUUGGCGGGGGAGCACCACAACAGGUGGAGCCUGCGGUUUAAUCGGACUCAACGCCGGGAAACUCACCAGGUAAGACAGCUGAAUGAUAGUCGGGCUGAAGACUCUACUUGACUAGCUGAGAGGAGGUGCAUGGCCGUCGUCAGUUCGUACUGUGAAGCAUCCUGUUAAGUCAGGCAACGAGCGAGACCCA
rnacentral:rRNA from 1 species